UACGUAGGGACCAAGCGUUGUUCGGAUUUACUGGGCGUAAAGGGCGCGUAGGCGGCGCGGUAAGUCACUUGUGAAAUCUCUGAGCUUAACUCAGAACGGCCAAGUGAUACUGCAGUGCUAGAGUGUGGAAGGGUCAAUCGGAAUUCUUGGUGUAGCGGUGAAAUGCGUAGAUAUCAAGAGGAACACCUGAGGUGAAGACGGGUUGCUGGGCCAACACUGACGCUGAUGCGCGAAAGCCAGGGGAGCAAACGGG
rnacentral:rRNA from 1 species